UGUUCACUCAAUGGUUUACCCCCAAUUGGCGGCCUGACCCAAAUCGCGACCUCCCCCAAAUCCCACCUGCCCUAGUUUCCACCCCAACCACCUCCGCCGCCGAGCACCUUCCGCCACACCCGACCACCGUACGCCAGCCCCCAGCAUCCCACCGCAGUGCCCGACCCCUCCCCGGCUACUGUCUCUUCUGCUGGCACAUGGGGGCGGGGGAGCAAGAGCAAGGGCCAUAGCACUCAUGGCGAGUUAUCGUCGAGGUGCACGUUGUGCGCACGGGAACUUGAAGGAGUGGCUUGUAGGAGGGAAAUGGAGGGAGGCGCGAUGGGUGGAGGAGGCCGGAGGUGUUUCCCACACUACGGAUCUGCCGUGGGGAUGUGGGAUGGAAGGCCACGGUUGCGCGGCCCCAGAUCCGGCGAUGGACUUGCGUGAGAGGCGGCCAACGGGGCGCGGGGCACAGCUCCAGAUCCAGGCGGCCCGAGCAAAGCAUGAAGCCAACAAGGAGGGGCGGGGGUUUGGAUUUGUUGAGAUGGACGCGGGCACACGCUUUGGGUGUCCGCCGCCGCUGCCCACCGAGCGGCACAGGAGCGAGUGACCUGGAAUCAAAAGAUGCCGACAGUCUCGAGUACUCAGAUCAGCAAACCCGUCUUGAUCAUGGGGUACAAUUAAAUUGUGUCAAGGUUUGGCCUUUUGAAGGAACAUAUGUUACUUGCCAUCAUGCCAAUCGCCAGUACUUACUUCCCAUGCCAAUCUCAAGUUUUGCUAUUUCAACUUCAGUUUCACAUGACAUAUUUCCCAUGCCUUAAUUUUGCUAUUGGUUGAUUACCGAAGUUGUUUGAUGAAGUGAUACUCUAGUUUAUAAUUUUUCCUAGAACUGCAAUGCCCAAUACGUUUAUAGGAGUUUUAACAUACCAUACUUUUGCAGGUCUGUUUGUGCACAAACUCUAGACCCUGCUUGUUCAGAUCUACAGGUUCUAGUUUCGGAUUAAAGUCCAUAUAUUCCCGUACCAUACGGGAGUUGAUUUUUUUAGUCUCGAGCAUAUGCUUUAGAAGUGUCUAAUUCGCAUUGUGAAAAAAACUGAAACCAUUACAUGCUGAAACAUUUGACAGGUGAUAUUUCUCUCUCGUUUUAUUCAAAAUAGUAACUAAAAUGAGUUUAGCAAGUUUUGAAAAAACUGAAACCAUUACAUGCUGAAACAUUUGACAGAUGAUAUUUCUCUCCCGUUUUCUUCAGAGCAGUAACUAAAAUGAGUUCAACAAUUUUUAAGUUUAUGACACUACAGCUGUGAAUAUAAUGACUAGCUAUCAAACAUAUUCCCUAGACUGCACUAGUAGUAUCUUUGCCAUCCAAUAGCCCAAGUUUAUUUAUGUUGAAGAGAUCUUCCAUUUAACAAUGACUAUUAUGGUUGAUUGCUUAAAAGUCCUUGCUUCGAUGUAUGGAGCUAGAAGUAGAAUCUAAGUUGGAAAAGCAGCAACGUGAGCACAAGAAAGCUAAGGAGGUAAUAAUCUUGGAUUUAGUAUUUGCUUUUGGAUACAUUCUUGCUGCUAUUUCAGAAUAUUGAAACUUCAUUUAGCAUUUGGUUCCUUAUAUGCUUAAUGCAAAUGAAACUGCAGCAAACAUACAAACUAAGCUUUUGCUUGACCUGUGUAUGCAUGUCCUGAAUGUGCUUAGCCUUUUUAUGCAUACAAUUAGUGGAAGCUUUUACAUGUCCAGUGUAUGCAUGUUCUGUAACUAAGCUUUUGCAUGUCCUAUGUAUUCUGAAGCUUAGCCUUUUGUUAUUGGGUUAGUACUUGAAAGAUUAUCUUAGUCUACCUGCCGUAGAUCCAUAUAUGAAGAGCAUAGGUGAUGCCUUCUUAUAUUCCUACGCAUAGUCCAAUAUUUCCUUUUCCUUGAUCCAGUACUCUUCUUUCCUUUGAUGCAAGCAAAAUGGCAUCGCAUUCUUGAUCCAGUACACAACAGGAAUAUUGCUAUAGAUGCACACUGGAAGUCUGAAAUCAUGCUAGUAGAAAUAGGUGUUCUGUCAGCUACUCAUAUUUUUUAUUGCAUGUGUCUCCUACCACUAAAUUUGUGAUUAAAUAAGUGUUCUGCAUAUAUGUUUGCCAACUGAUGGUCCAUAUAAGACUGGAAACAACACCAUCUUUGUGACAUUUAACCUGUUCUAUUUUUUUGUAGACAGUGCUAGUCCAAUGGAUAAGAAAAUUGACACAUGUCAUUUGGAGCCCAAAGACUAGUAAGAUUGUUGUAAACUACUUCAAUGUAACAUUAGCAUUUUAGUUUCUAUACUUCUGUCAUGUUCGUGCUGGAAAAAUGUUUGCAUUUUGCUGUUUUUCCAUGGGAUGAAACUAUUUCAUACAACCUCCAUCCCAGAUUAGUUGUCUCAAGUUGGACACGUUUUAGUGUUAGACACAUCCGUAUCCAGAUAAAUCUAAGACAACUAAUUUAGGACGGAGGGAGUAUCUUGCACUACAGUCUUUGUGUGUUUAUACCAAAACACAAGAUCCGAUGAUGUAAAAAAUUCAUACGAGUUGUGCAUGUAGCUUCCUGUAAUCACUUCCUACUUUGUCCUAUAUAUGUGCAGGUUUUGGAUGGCGUUUUAUGGAAUCACAUACAGGAAACUAAAAUUGAUAUCGGAGCUAAGCACACGAUGUAAUUGUGGUCAACUAGAUGUGCUUAAUUUGUGUGCAAAGGCCUAAAAAUCCUGACGUGUUUUAGUUUCCUAUUAACUUGAAUAUUUGCUCAAUGCCUUGAAAGGAAAUUUGAUUAGAAAAUUUCUUGAUGAUGUAGACAUCUUAUAAAAGUGGGAAUGGCGCACUCAAUAGAUUCUUUGAGUGUUGUAAAUUAGUGUAAUGCAGAUAAUGUUUUAUAAUACAUGUGCUUUUCAAUUCU